AGAGAUACCUUUGUUUCUUUGCCAUUGUUUCAAUCUUGGAAUUUAGACUAAAGAAAACCCUGAAUUUACAAAACUGUGGAGAUAUUUUGGGAGCAUUCUUAAGAUGAUUUUCUUAAUUUUGGCUUUUCUUAAUUCCAAAAUUUUGAUAAUUUAUAAUUUAUUCAUAUAUUAUAUAGGGUGUGUUGAAGUGGUUGGCUGUGUAAGAUGUGAAGAGCUAGCAAGCUGGGAGGCAGUACCUGAAGGGGCAAGGUUAGAAGGACAAACAGAUUUUUGCUGGCUUUGUGAACAGCCACAGGUGUGCCAUUUGCGCUGGCCAUAUCUUUGAAAGUAUACUCGUGCACUAAUUGCCUGCUCCUCACCUGAUGCAGAUUGCUAGUUCCAUUUGAGAUGCGAGGCUAUCAAGGUGUUUAUAACUUGGAAAAGACGAUAUAUGAAGCUGCAGUUUGAUGCAAAAAUUCAAGUCAGCCUCCCAUCAGUUGAAUAUUACUCACCAGCUUGUUACUUUUUGCUGUAUUUUAUUCUUAGCAACUGUGCACUCAUUAUUAACAUAUUUGGAUUGAAACUAGCUCAUACCGUACUCAUAGAAUUGUGGUAAGAGGCUGGAAUUUUUUUUUUUGGAAAAAUAUCAUUAAAAAAGUAAUAUGAAAAAAGUUAAUUUUUUUAGAGUUUUUAUUAUUAAAAUGUGUUAUAUUUAAUUUUAAAUUAAUUUUUAAUACUUUUAAUUUUUUUUUCCCAUCAAUAAUUUUAGCAGAAAUGUUAAACUGAAAUUCAUUACCUUAAACCAUAUAUUCGAAAUGAAAUUAUCUAGGUCAAUAAAAUCCGCGGGGGACGUGUCAAGCACUCAUUAGGCAUCUCAGGAUAUUGAAUGAAUGGACUCUGGAAUGACAACCCAGCAACUCUUGACAAGUUUAGUUGACGGAGACCGAGACGCGUUCUUCUGUAUUAUUUAUUAGGUAUUAUUUUUUUUAAUUUUUUGAACAGAGCCAAAAAUGGAAGUUACUUCGUAUUUGCUCGCUUUCCUCUUGAUCCAUGGGCUGCUCCUUUGUAGUUGUGAAGGGAAGGCCCUUGAAUGGGAAUCCCCUUCUACUGAAUUUUCUCAUCAUCAUUACAAGCUGAAGGUGUUGACCAGAAGGCCUUUUCAUAUCACCACCACCACCUCCUAAGCUUAACAAUCGUCCUCAACAGAAGCCAAAACCGCCACCAUUACCAUCACCACCGCCACCCUCACCCUAUCCCAUAUAAUCACCUUCAUAUUGACGCUAUAUUUUUCUUGGUUCAGAAGCUUCUUUGUGUUGAAAUCUGAUUCAAAAAAUGGUAAAAAUUGGACUUUGUCUUUGAUGUUAGUUUUAGCUGUAGAUUCUUGCCCCUUAAUUUUCUGUCUUCAGUUGAUAGAAUGAAUCUAGAAGUAUUGGCAAUAAUAUCUGAUGUUAGUUGAGAUUUUUUCAGCCUUUUCACUUUGCUUGUGCACUUUCAGUUCUGGAAUAAAUAGCAGAUAGCUUCAAUUUCUGCAUUUCUUUAUCUUAUUUCCUUUUCUGCAAUUUCUUAUGCCCUGUUGCUUAAAUUCUCAACAUUUGUUCUGUUCAGAUUAGUUUUUCUUUUCCAGAUUUUUAAUUUACUCAUAUUUAUUAGUUCAGUUGUCUAUUGGGGAUCGUCAUGAUAUCAAUUGACACUAUAAAUAUGAAUGGAGUAAAGAUGCAGAAACUUGGUUGAAAUGGUCAGUGAUAAAUAAAUAGUAGGAAGGAUGAUGGGAUCCAAACUAUUUAUCUUGUUCAGCAAUUGGAAUUUUCAGUUCAUACUUGUUCACAUUCAUCUGGAUCUUCAUCAACUAUUUACAUGACUGCAACUCAUAUAUACUUUAGUUUCUGGGUCUUCCUUGGAAAUUAUUCUGUCGUUUUAUUUAUUUAUUUUCAAGAUCCUAACAUUCUUUAGCAAAGUAACAAGCCUACCAUCAUGAGCCACAGAUUUUCUCAGGACUUGCUGCAAUGCAGUCAUGAGUAAUCAUGAAUUGGAGGUUUUGACUUGUUUUUUUUUUUAAAAAUAGUAAAAACAUCCGUUUCAUUUAUCUUUGUAAUCUGCGCAAGAAAUUAAAGAAGAUCAUUAUAAUAUUAAAAGUAUCAAAUCAAAAGAAAUCAGCCAUAACUGCCAAAUAGCCUAUCUCAAAAGACAACAUGAAACACUGCCAACUGUUGAUUCCGACUACGAAGAGAAAAGACAAGAAACUGAUAACCCAGUGAUGAGCAGUGGAGGGAGAAGGAGGCAUGGGAAUUACACCAACCCCUGCUUGACCAUGCACCAACCAUAGGCUUCACUUCUACACUUGUUCGGACAGAGUAUUGUAUGAUUUAUUAAUAUAUGGUUGUAUUAUAUUGUAUCAUUUUUAUUAUUAAUGUGUUUAAAAAGAUAAUAUAAUAUAGAAUUAGCUAAAUGGUAUGAUAGGAUAUAAUAAAUAUAAAUAUUACUAAAAUAUAUUUAUUAUUAUUUUAGAUAUAUAAAAAGUUAUUUUAAACUUUGUUUUUACUGUUUGAAUUAUUUAAUUGAUAAAAUAGAUGAAAUAACAUAAAUAUAUAAAAUGAAAUCACUUAUUAAUUUCUCUUCUCCAAAGAUGUUACGGCCCAUGAGACACUUCUCUCUAUAUUUCAAUAAUUGGUGGAUUCCUAUGGAAUUAUGCUAUCAGAAAAGAAGAGCUCAUUGGCCCAAACUGACAUUGACUUCCUUGGAAUGAAGUUCAAUGAUGAAAAAUACCAACCCGCUGAGCCAUGCACUGAUAAUGCUUUUCAAUAUCUGUUCUCUUUAAAUAGCAACAUCGCAUGUCAAAGAACUCUUGGCGUAGCUGUUUGCUAUAUAAAGAUGCAUCUUGGGCUUGAGGAGGCCUAGUGGGAGGGCCUGUAGUGCCAUUGGUGGAAUCUGUAGUUGAGGAUGGACCUAUUUGAGAUGCAGUUGGUUGAGGAUCAGCCAUGAGCAAUGUCGUGAUGUCCAUUCUUCCGUCCUCACUGUCAUCUUCAGAUAAGUCAUCUGAAGAGUUGUCUUCUGAUUGGCCACUGUCGGUGUACAGGAAAUGGUGGGUCAGCACUUUGAAUGGCAUCCCGUGACUCUGUGUCCAUUGGAUCUGAGAAUCUUGCCACAUGGGAUGAGUUCAGUUAAUGGGCUCAUCAGUGAGAGACCGGAUGGGACCAAGUGCUGUUCAAUUUACAUGGGGAGACACCAGACAAUAAUAGCUGUUGAUUUCACAGAGAUAUUCAGCUAGUUGUUUUCUUAGGGGUCGUCUUGCAGAAUUCAAAGCUUGGCUCGAUGUUUAGAUGCUCAGAGAAGGUGCUGAUUCUCAUACUGUUCUCAGAGAAUUUAUCUCUCGAACUACUGGCACCUUACAAAAUUGGUUUGCCUCCAUUGGAGAAUAUAAUAAAGCCUAGUUUUGUCACUGUGGGAAUGCAGAAAGUUGUUUUAGGCCUAUCAGAGGGGUUAAUACCCAAUUGUCAAAAUCCAGUUUUAAGAUCAAACUAGAACUAAGUAAUAUAAGAAUCAGAAAAUUAAAUCUAACAAUCAAAUAAAAAUAAAAAAAAGAUAAUUAUCAAUAAAAAUCACUAUUGCGAUGAAUUUGUACUAACACCUAAAAUUAGUGGCUAGAGCAAGAGUGAAGAGGAAUAUUGAAGCAAUAUUAUAGACUUAUAAAAUCUUGAGAAGGUGUUGGAGAGGAUUCGUGAUGUAAGAGAUGAUAGAUUGAUAUGGUAGACUGAAAAUUUUUUAUUAAAAAGAAAAAUAAAAAUGACGAGGGAUAAGGAAUGUCUUAUAAAUAAAAAGAAUAAGGUGUAAUUGAAAUUUUAUAAAUUAUAUAAAUAUAAAAUUAAAAAGUAUAAAAAUUUUAAAUUACUUAAAAUUACAAAUUUAAUAAUUUAAAAACAUGUGGUAAAAUAAUCAUUUUGCAAUUCGAAACCACCGUCGUAACAUUAACAAUCUUCACAAAUAAAUUUCUGGUAAAAAAAAAAUCUUCACAAAUAAAUAGUAUUAUCAUUCCAUACACUUCAAACAAGGGGUUAGUUUAUGGGAUCAAACGCAUUGAAGGCAGGUCAUGGCCUGCUCCUAUUCAAGGUCAAUCAGCCCUUCAACUUUUCAACUUGCGGAAAUCUCGAUAACCCGGUAAUUGCAGUUAACCGCCAAGGAUUUUUGUUUAUUUGUUUAUUUUUUUAAAGUGCGGAGAUUUCUUGCUAGGAAUUUGGAAAAGAAGAGAAGAAAAAGGUUGGAUUUUUGGUGAUUGAGAGAUUUGAUUUUCUUCUCAACUUUGAAUUUCACUCAGCCAAAUUUUUUAUUUUGAAUGGCACCUUGGAUUCAUGCUGCAAGUAAAGUUCCAGAGGAAACUACGAUCAAAGCAAUGGAGGAAUUUUAUAGGGAAAUCUAUGCAGUGAAUGGCAUCACUGAAAUUAAUUUUCCGGAACAUUAUCCUGUUUCAAGACCUUUAGAUAUGGUUUUGGAUGUGUUGAAGUGGUUGGCUGUGUAAGAUGUGAAGAACUAGCAAGCUGGGAGGCAGUACCUGAAGGGGCAAGGUUGGAAGGACAAACAGAUUUUUGCUGGCUUUGUGAACAGCCACAGACGUUGCUAUUUCCAUUUGAGAUGCGAGGCCAUCAAGGUGUUUAUAACUUGGAAAAGAAGUAUUUUGCCUUUGACAGAUAUAUGAAGCUGCUGUUAGAGGUCUCAUUCCAGUUAAAGGCCCAAUGCCAGUAAAAUUUCCCCUUCCAAAUCCUCAUGAUCCUUUUUCCUUAAAACCAGGGUCUAUUUCAGUGCUAUUCCCUGAGAAAGCUUCUGAUGUGGAGAAAUCAUCAAGUCUCACAGCAGCCAUUGCUGUUGCAUGUGCAGCAGCUACUCAAUUCAACAUGAAAGAUCAAGAUCUCCUAGCAAAUACUGUCCAGAUUAACAAUUUUAAGAAGUGACCAAGUGAACAGCAAACCUUUGGAAGAACAUAAAAAGCUUAUAUGAAGUCUCCAAUGUCAUACCUUCAGUGUCAAAUGAGGCUGAACAAAGCAAUCUCAUCCAGUGUGAGGAAAGCAGUUGCCAAAGUCGAACGCGUAUUCCUGGAGCUCCUGCUAAGGCUGUUGCAUCUAAUUCUUAAUACUCAAUGCAAGUCCAAAUUCAUUUGGACUCAUGUUUGGUCAUGAUAAAAAUUAUAGGUAUUGGAUCUAGAUGCUCUUCUGCUAGUUCAGAUUACCUUGAAAGGGUUCUAAUUGGAUCUCUCUCUGAGCUUUGUUUAAUUUUUUUUUAUUUUCUUAUUAUUUUUAUUUGGUGGGACUUGUGUUGUUCUAUUCCUGUGUCAUAAGGUCUAUUGUGAAUAUGCCAUGUUGUUUAAGUGAAUGGAAACAUGUGAUACAAGCAAAACCUAUCUGACCUCAGGCUUGUCUUGCAAGUUACAUUGCCCAAGAAAUAUAUAUCAAAUAAUUUUUCAGGAUGAAGUUUGAGGCUUGUUUGUUGAUUGAUUAAAAUUGAGGUCAGCAUCUAAUUCACAUUGGUCUCUAUAAGUAGUAUGGAGAAGUAGAUAUCACUGAUGAGAGUCAACUGUAACCAUUCUCAUGCAUAAAGAAAGGCUGCUCUGUAUGCACAAGGCUCCCUGCUGUGUAAGGGUCAGGAACUCCUAGUCUAUUAAGGAGCAACCUUAAAUGGAAAAUUGGAACUUGGUUGAGAACAAAGUAAAUGCUUUCUGAAAGAAACAGAAGACAGAAAAACAGACUUUGUUGAUUUUCAUAUGAUUGUUGAUUCAGUGUCCAUUAUUUGACAAGUCUCAUCUUUGGAUUUCUAGAUUUUUUGCUGCUGCUGUUAGAGGGCUGAAGCCAUCCUGAAUUCACGUUGGUUGCUAUGGGAAUAAGUUUUGAACACUAACAGAAGUGACAUGUAGUUCAUUUUUGUUGCGAAAAUUCAAGUCAGCCUCCCAUCAGUUGAAUAUUACUGACUAGCUUGUUACUUUUUGCUGUAUUUUAUUCUUAGCACCCGUGACUAAUUAUUGACAGAUUUGGAUUGAAACUAGCUCAUACUGUGCUCAUAGAAUUGUGGUAAGAGGCUGGAAUUUUUUUUUUUUGGAAAAAUAUUAUUAAAAAAGUAAUGUGAAAAAAGUUAAUUAUUUUAGAGUUUUUAUUAUUAAAAUGUGUUAUAUUUAAUUUUAAAUUAAUUUUUAAUAUUUUUAAUAUAUUUUAUUUUAUUUUUCUCAUCAAUAAUUUUAACAGAAAUGUUAAACUGAAAUUCAUUAUCGUAAACCAUAUAUUGGAAUCGAGAUUAUCUAGGUCAAUAAAACCCGCAGGGGACGUGUCAAAGACUCUUUAAGCAUUUCAGAAUAUUGAAUGAAUGGACUCUGAAAUGACAACACGACAACUCUUGAUAAGUUUCGUUGACGGAUUUGUAAUCAUCUCAUAAUUAAUUCGGUCUAAAUCCACGAGCUGCUCUUUCACCCACUACGUACUAACUUCCAUUAAUGCUUUUCUCCGAGUCUUAUUAAAUUUUUUUCUUUGGUAUAAUUCACUGAGAGUCCAACUCAAGACCAUAUAAUUCUGGAGUUCUCCUCCAGAAUUAGGUAUUUUGUUUUGAUUUUUUAAACAGGAACCAACAAUGGAAGUUACCUGCUAUUUGCUUGCUUUCCUCUUGAUCCAUGGGCUGCUUCUCAGUAGCUGUGAAGGGAAGGCCCUUGAAUGGGAAUCCCCUUCUACUGAAUUUUCUCAUCAUCAUUACAAGCUGAAGGUGUUGACCAGAAGGUCGGUUCAUAGAAUAUCACCACCGCCACCUCCUAAGCUUAACAAUCGUCCUCAACAUAAGCCGCCUAGACGACAACCGCCAUUACCAUCACCACCGCCACCCUCACCCUAUCCAAUAUAAUCACCUUCAUAUUGACGCUAUAUUUUUCUUGGUUCAGAAGCUUCUUUGUGUUGAAAUCUGAUUCAAAAAAUAGUGAAAAUUAGACUUUGUAUUUGAUGUUAGUUUUGGCUGUAGAUUCUUGCUCCUUAAUUUUCUGUCUUCAGUUGAUAGAAUGAAUCUAGAAGUAUUGGCAAUAAUAUCUGAUGUUAGUUGACAUUUUUUCAGCCUUUUCACUUUGCUUGUGCACUUUCAGUUCUGGAAUAAAUAGCAGAUAGCUUCAAUUUCUGCAUUUUUUUA